rnacentral:rRNA from 1 species
AUUAGAGUUUGAUCAUGGCUCAAUUGAACGCUGGCGGAAUGCUUUACACAUGCAAGUCGAACGGCAGCACGGGGGCAACCCUGGUGGCGAGUGGCGAACGGGUGAGUAAUACAUCGGAACGUGCCCAGUCGUGGGGGAUAACGUAGCGAAAGCUACGCUAAUACCGCAUACGAACUCUGGUUGAAAGCGGGGGAUCGCAAGACCUCGCGCGAUUGGAGCGGCCGAUGGCAGAUUAGGUAGUUGGUGGGGUAAAGGCUCACCAAGCCGACGAUCUGUAGCUGGUCUGAGAGGACGACCAGCCACACUGGGACUGAGACACGGCCCAGACUCCUACGGGAGGCAGCAGUGGGGAAUUUUGGACAAUGGGCGCAAGCCUGAUCCAGCCAUUCCGCGUGCAGGAUGAAGGCCCUCGGGUUGUAAACUGCUUUUGGACGGAACGAAAAGGCUCUCUCUAAUACAGGGGGCUCAUGACGGUACCGUCAGAAUAAGCACCGGCUAACUACGUGCCAGCAGCCGCGGUAAUACGUAGGGUGCAAGCGUUAAUCGGAAUUACUGGGCGUAAAGCGUGCGCAGGCGGUGAUGUAAGACAGGUGUGAAAUCCCCGGGCUUAACCUGGGAACUGCAUUUGUGACUGCAUCGCUGGAGUGCGGCAGAGGGGGAUGGAAUUCCGCGUGUAGCAGUGAAAUGCGUAGAUAUGCGGAGGAACACCGAUGGCGAAGGCAAUCCCCUGGGCCUGCACUGACGCUCAUGCACGAAAGCGUGGGGAGCAAACAGGAUUAGAUACCCUGGUAGUCCACGCCCUAAACGAUGUCAACUGGUUGUUGGGUCUUCACUGACUCAGUAACGAAGCUAACGCGUGAAGUUGACC